CGAGCAUAGAAGUAGCAAUACGUUGGUGGCGACCGGCGCACGGGUGAGUAACGCGUAUGCAACCUACCUAUCAGAGGGGAAUAACCCGGCGAAAGUACGGACUAAUACCGCAUAAAACAGGGGCACCGCAUGGUGAUAUUUGUUAAAGAAAUUCGCUGAUAGAUGGGCAUGCGUUCCAUUAGGUAGUUGGUGAGGUAACGGCUCACCAAGCCGACGAUGGAUAGGGAACUGAGAGGUUGGUCCCCCACACUGGUACUGAGACACGGACCAGACUCCUACGGGAGGCAGCAGUGAGGAAUAUUGGUCAAUGGGCGGGAGCCUGAACCAGCCAAGUCGCGUGAAGGAAGAAGGAUCUAUGGUUCGUAAACUUCUUUGCAGGGGAAUAAAGUGCAGGACGUGUCCUGUUUUGUAUGUACCCUGAGAAUAAGGAUCGGCUAACUCCGUGCCAGCCGCCGC
rnacentral:rRNA from 1 species